GACCACGUUCGAGGAGCUGAUCCUGAAGUGCUUGUCUGCAUCCUCUGACCCUCAAACCAAGAGGAAGCUGGACGAUGCAAAUAAACGACUGGAAACGCUCUACGACAAACUCCGAGAGGAGACGCUUUCCCCCGCCAUCAUAGGUGGACUUCACAACAUUGUGAGGACCAUCGAGUCUCGAUCGUACACUGAGGGCCUCAACAUCCACACUCACAUCAUCAGCAGC